ensembl:snRNA U6 U6 spliceosomal RNA
GCUCACUUCGGCAGAGCAUAUACUAAAAUUGGAAUGAUACAGAGAAGAUUAGCAUGGC